rnacentral:antisense_RNA from 1 species
UGUGGGAGCUGGCUUGCCAGCGAUUGCGUCGGUACAGUCAAAAUCAAUGGUGGCUGAUCCACCGUUAUCGCUGGCAAGCCAGCUCCCACA